rnacentral:lncRNA from 1 species
AAGUCCUGACUUUGGAUUGGUCUUUUGAUGAUCGGGGGCUUAAGCCGGGCGUCCUUCGCCCAGCUGCGAGUCGAUCGUCCUUCAUCCGGCUGUGAGUCGGGCGUCCUUCGCCCGGCUGCGAGUCGGGCAUACUCGUCGAGCCGAAAGCCGAUCGAUCGUCGGAUAAGACUUGGCAGUCGGACCUCUUUUGACACAUUCAGUCGGAUGUCGUUCGGCGCGUUUAGUCGCGGGAGUGAUGAUAAGUCGGAUCCCGAUACCCUAAUGCCGGGUACUUACGCUGCGCCACGUGAUAUACGGUGGUAAGCCGAAUAUCUUCCGGCCGGCCGUAGCUCGGUCGGUGAGUUAUGAAUGCGACGGUGGUCGCUUCGUAUGAUAGACGGUGGUAAGCCGAAUAUCCUUCGACCGGCCGUAGCUCAGUCGGUAAGUCGUGACGGCGGUCGCGCAGGCGUUUUGCCUUUCCUUGGUUGGGGCCCAGUCGGCAAGUCAGCCGAUUGUUUGGCCCGAAACUCUGAUCGUAGGAGUGUUAACUCCCGUUGUCGUGGACGGUUCGGCCAUUGUGAGCGCUCGAUACGUCGUC